UGUGUAGGCGGUUUGGUAAGUCUGGUGUGAAAUCUCCCGGCUCAACUGGGAGGGUGCGCCGGAAACUGCUGGACUAGAGUGCGGGAGAGGAAAGUGGAAUUCCUGGUGUAGCGGUGAAAUGCGUAGAUAUCAGGAGGAACACCGGUGGUGUAGACGGCUUUCUGGACCGUAACUGACGCUGAGACACGAAAGCGUGGGUAGCAAACAGGAUUAGAUACCCUGGUAGUCCACGCCCUAAACGAUGCAUAUUUGGUGUGGGCAGUUCAUUCUGUCCGUGCCGGAGCUAACGCGUUAAAUAUGCCGCCUGGGGAGUACAGUCGCAAGGCUGAA
rnacentral:rRNA from 1 species